GGGUCGGUGCCCGAGCGGCCAAAGGGAGCAGGCUGUAAACCUGCCGGCAUUGUCUACGUAGGUUCGAAUCCUGCCCGGCCCAC
rnacentral:tRNA from 1 species